rnacentral:pre_miRNA from 1 species
AUGCGCCUCUUCUGGGGAUCCUGUUAAAAUGCAGCUUCUGACUCAGCAGGUCUGGGCGGGGCCUGAGAUGCUGCACUUCUCACAAGCUCCCAGGGGAUGCUGAU